rnacentral:rRNA from 1 species
GAUGAACGCUGGCGGCGUGCCUAAUACAUGCAAGUCGAGCGAAUGGAUUAAGAGCUUGCUCUUAUGAAGUUAGCGGCGGACGGGUGAGUAACACGUGGGUAACCUGCCCAUAAGACUGGGAUAACUCCGGGAAACCGGGGCUAAUACCGGAUAACAUUUUGAACCGCAUGGUUCGAAAUUGAAAGGCGGCUUCGGCUGUCACUUAUGGAUGGACCCGCGUCGCAUUAGCUAGUUGGUGAGGUAACGGCUCACCAAGGCAACGAUGGGUAGCCGACCGGAGAGGGUGAUCGGCCACACUGGGACUGAGACACGGCCCAGACUCCUACGGGAGGCAGCAGUAGGGAAUCUUCCGCAAUGGACGAAAGUCUGACGGAGCAACGCCGCGUGAGUGAUGAAGGCUUUCGGGUCGUAAAACUCUGUUGUUAGGGAAGAACAAGCGCUAGUUGAAUAAGCUGGCACCUUGACGGUACCUAACCAGAAAGCCACGGCUAACUACGUGCCAGCCGCCGCGGUAA